GAUGAACGCUGGCGGCGUGCUUAACACAUGCAAGUCGAACGAUGAAGCCCAGCUUGCUGGGUGGAUUAGUGGCGAACGGGUGAGUAACACGUGAGUAACCUGCCCUUAACACUGGGAUAAGCCUGGGAAACUGGGUCUAAUACCGGAUAGGAGCGCCUACCGCAUGGUGGGUGUUGGAAAGAUUUAGCGGUUUUGGAUGGACUCGCGGCUUAUCAGCUUGUUGGUGGGGUAAUGGCUCACCAAGGCGACGACGGGUAGCCGGCCUGAGAGGGUGACCGGCCACACUGGGACUGAGACACGGCCCAGACUCCUACGGGAGGCAGCAGUGGGGAAUAUUGCACAAUGGGCGAAAGCCUGAUGCAGCGACGCCGCGUGAGGGAUGACGGCCUUCGGGUUGUAAACCUCUUUCAGUAGGGAAGAAGCGAAAGUGACGGUACCUGCAGAAGAAGCACCGGCUAACUACGUG
rnacentral:rRNA from 1 species